UUAUAAACCCUUAUCUUCUUCUUUUCUAUCCCAUCAGCCUCUAAACCUUCAAUUCCACACUUUCGUUUCAUUUUCUUUUUUUUUUUUGGAUCGAUGAUGAAAAAUCCAAAGGCUUGUUUCUCAAAGAACAUUCGCAGUGGCCGCCUGAGAGCUUUCGCCUUUCGCCGGGCUAGAGAGCUUUUGCUGUUUCACUCCUUCCUUGGAUGUCUGAGAAUCUUUUUCCAUCUCGGUUUUCAUUUUUCUUCGUUCCAUCCGCUUUAAUUUUUGUAAUUUCUCCUAAUAGCUUUAUCAAAGUUUAAUGUUUUUGAACAGUUCGUUCCUGAUUAUAAUUGUUUGUUGUUUUUUUUCUACUUUGAGUUUUCUGUUGCUGAAAUAUUAUACGAUCAUGUCCUGUUGUCUAAAAAGGUAAAUAAGGUCGAUGAUGAUAACUUGAAAGGCUUGUUUCUCAAAACAUUUGCAGUGGCCGCCUAAGAGCUUUUGCCUUCGCCUUCACCUUCGCCAGGCUUGAGAGUUUGUGCUGCUUCAAUCCUUCCUUGGAUGUCUUAGACCUUAUAUUAUAAUAUUUGUGCUUAUGCCCUUGUGCUUGAAAGGGCUGCUAUUUCAUUUAUUCUUUUGCUUAGUUACUUAAUUAAUUCAAUUUUGCUACACUUUCUUUCAUGCCGUGAUACUACUCUUAUACUAGGGUAUCUUUUAACAUCAUUAAAUUUGUGCGUUUUAAUGGUUUUGUUGAUGAUGAUAAAUCCAAAGGCUUGUUUCUCAAAAACAUUCGCAGUUGCCGCCUAAGAGCUUUUGCCUUCGCCAGGCUUGAGAGCUUGUGCUGCUUCACCCCUUCCUUGGAUGUCUGAAACUUUAACCAUAAUUCUUUCUAAUUAUUGGUUUUAAACUUUUUGUACUUUGAACAUAAUUUUGGUACACUUUCCUUCAUGCCUUGAUACUACCCUGUAUAAUAGGGUAUCUUUUAAAAUCAUUAAGUUUGUGCGUUUUGAUGGUUUUGUUGAUGAUGAUAAAUCCAAAGGCUUGUUUCUCAAAAACAUUCGCAGUUGCCGCCUAAGAGCUUUCGCCUUUGCCAGGCUUGAGAGUUUGUGCUGCUUCAUUCUUUCCUUGGAUGUCUGAAACUUUAACCAUAAUUCUUUCUAAUUAUUGGUUUUAAACUUUUUGUACUUUGAACAUAAUUUUGGUACACUUUCCUUCAUGCCUUGAUACUACCCUGUAUACUAGGGUAUCUUUUAACAUCAUUAAAUUUGUGCGUUUUGAUGGUUUUGUUGAUGAUGAUAAAUCCAAAGGCUUGUUUCUCAAAAACAUUCGCAGUUGCCGCCUAAGAGCUUUCGCCUUUGCCAGGCUUGAGAGUUUGUGCUGCUUCAUUCCUUCCUUGGAUGUCUGAAACUUUAACCAUAAUUCUUUCUAAUUAUUGGUUUUAAACUUUUCGUACUUUGAACAUAAUUUUGGUACACUUUCCUUCAUGCCGUGAUACUACCCUGUAUACUAGGGUGUCUUUUAACAUCAUUAAAUUUGUGCGUUUUGAUGGUUUUGUUGAUGCUGAUAAAUCCAAAGGCUUGUUUCUAUAAAACAUUCGCAGUGGCCGCCUAAGAGUUUUUGCCUUCGCCGGGAUUGAGAGCUUGUGCUGCUUCAUUCCUCCCUUGGAUGUCUGAAACUUUGAACAUAAUUCUGUCUAAUUAUUGGUUGUAAACUUUUUGUACUUUACUUCGAACCAUGCUGAUCCAGUUCUGGUAUUUGAAUUGUAUUUUGUCUGUUUUGCCA